rnacentral:rRNA from 1 species
GACGAACGCUGGCGGCGUGCUUAACACAUGCAAGUCGAACGGAAAGGCCUCUUUCGGGGGGUACUCGAGUGGCGAAUGGGUGAGUAACACGUGAGUAACCUGCCCCUGACUUUGGGAUAACUUCAGGAAACUGGGGCUAAUACCGGAUAGGAGCUCCUGCUGCAUGGUGGGGGUUGGAAAGUUUCGGCGGUUGGGGAUGGACUCGCGGCUUAUCAGCUUGUUGGUGGGGUAGUGGCUUACCAAGGCUUUGACGGGUAGCCGGCCUGAGAGGGUGACCGGCCACAUUGGGACUGAGAUACGGCCCAGACUCCUACGGGAGGCAGCAGUGGGGAAUAUUGCACAAUGGGUGGAAGCCUGAUGCAGCAACGCCGUGUGCGGGAGGACGGCCUUCGGGUUGUAAACCGCUUUCGCUCAUGACGAAGCUUUGUGUGACGGUAGUGGGUAAAGAAGCACCGGCUAACUACGUG